rnacentral:rRNA from 1 species
AUGGAGCUCGACGCCGCCCAAAAUCCUAACCCCGACCCCCCCAUCUCCGCCUACUACCAGACGCGGGCGGAGCACCAUGCCGUCGUCUCCAGCGACUGGCUCGAUCACGCAGCCGCUGCCGCCUCUCUCCCCGAUGCGCACGCCGACGCCGACACCGCCCAACCCCCCUCCCCAGGGAGCAACGGCGGGGGCGUCAUCGAGGAGUUCAACUUCUGGCGCCGCAAGCCGGAGGCCGCCGAGGCGGUUGCCGCCAUCAUGGCGCUCGCCGCCGUCAUCCGCUCCAGCAGGGCCACCACCAUGAUGGAGCUCGAGAUCGAGCUCAAGAAGGCUUCCGACAAGCUCAAGUCCUGGGAUGCUACUUCCAUUUCUCUGUCUGCUGCUUGUGAUUUGUUCAUGCGCUUUGUAACAAGAACAUCACAUUUGGAGCAUGAGAAAUUUGAUGCAGCAAAAUCACGCCUAAUUGAGCGAGGGGAAAAGUUUGGAGAGAUAUCAUUAAAGGCCCGUAAGACAAUUGCAAUGCUCAGCCAGGAUUUCAUCUCAGAUGGGUGCACUAUGCUGGUACAUGGUUAUUCCAGAGUGGUGUUGGAAAUCCUGAAGCUAGCUGCCUCAAAUCGCAAACUCUUCCGUGUAUUAUGCACAGAGGGCAGACCAGACAGAACUGGCCUACGAAUGUCAAAUGAACUUGCAGCAUUAGGUAUUCCUGUUAAGGUGCUAAUUGAUUCAGCUGUUGCUUACUCCAUGGAUGAAGUUGACAUGGUAUUUGUUGGUGCUGAUGGGGUUGUUGAAAGUGGAGGAAUUAUUAAUAUGAUGGGGACUUACCAGAUAGCUCUUGUAGCUCAUAGCAUGAAUAAACCUCUAUACGUGGCCGCUGAAAGUUAUAAGUUUGCUCGUCUAUAUCCCCUGGACCAGAAGGACAUGACACCAGCUCAUCGACCAAUAGAUUUUGGAGUUCCGAUACCUGCUGGUGUGGAAGUUGAGACAUCGGCAAGAGACUACACUCCUCCCCAGUACCUCACACUUCUUUUGACUGAUCUUGGUGUUCUGACACCAUCCGUUGUGAGCGAUGAGCUCAUCCAACUGUACCUAUGA